rnacentral:sRNA from 1 species
GGUGGAGAGCAUGAGCAAGGUGCUGCUCGGGCACAUGGGCAUGGGCGCAGCUGAGCCCAGGCAGCCCUGACCCAGGCGGCCUCCCUGCAGGUGGCCUCCAAGAAGUACGAGGAGGGGGAGCGGGCAUUGUGCGAGGCCCGGCAGGUGCAGGCAGAGCAGCAGGCCCGGUUGCAGGCGGUGCAGCAACAGCAGGAGCGGCUGCGGAAGCAGGAGCAGCACAUGCACCAGGCAAGGCUCCCUGAGUGUAUGGCGCCCCUGCCCCCGGCACCCCCAGCCUCCCACCUCACAGCUGAGUCCUUCUUUCCGGGGGAACGGGGACAGGAGCAUCUGAGUCUGGCCCAGCAGAGGCUGCAACUGGACCGCGCACGACAGGACCUGCCCUCCAGCCUCGUGGGUCUGUUCCCCAGGGCCCAGGGCCCUGCAGCCUCCAGCCAGAAUGGUGAGUGGCUCCAGAAGGAAGGGCCGGUGGCUCAGGACUGGGCAGGGGCAGUGCUAGGAGUGGGCAGGCCCUCCUCCAGCGCUCCAGUUAAGGCGGCCAGCUGGGUUUUACAGUCGCCUUAUUUGUUUUUUACACAAAUAAUGUGUGUUAAUUUUAGAUAAAUCAGAAAUAGAGAGAGGGACACUAUUAUGAAAAAUGUCACCUUUUUGUAACUCUGGACUCAGGA